rnacentral:lncRNA from 1 species
AAACUGCUGAAAGUUCUUUCUACCGAGAAUGAAUAAUCCUCAACCAGGUUUUCGAAUACAAUGGUCUUUAUUAACAAGUGCGAGUUUGCGCCUUUAUAACUAGGACCAGGACAACUUAACUCCUGUGUUUCUUUUCCUUUGGCGUAUAUACCUUUGUCAAAACUGUGAUCCCUGCUACUUGGGAGGCUGAGACACAAGAAUUGCUUGAAUCCAGGAGGCGGAGGUUGCAGUGAACCAAGAUCAUGCCACUGAACUCCAGCCUGGGUGACAGAGCAAGAGUCUGUCUCAAAAAAAAAAAAAAGAAAAGAAAAAGAUAUUGCUUAGAAAAGUAACUUGAGUCCUGUUGAGCCUAAGUAAAGGACAAUAAUGGAAGUUUCUAGUCUGCAAAAUAUGAAGAUGCCCCUCAGAGACACAGCUGUGGGUGCCUCUCACAAGACAGAUGUUCAGGAAAACUGGGCUGUUGCUCUGGAAUUUUCAAUGAGUUAUUUUACUUGUUUUUGCCUCAGUUUACAGAAAAUAAACUGGCAACAAUAUCUCCUUGUUAUUGUGAGGAUAAAAUAAAAG